rnacentral:rRNA from 1 species
UGGGGAAUUUUGCACAAUGGGGGAAACCCUGAUGCAGCGACGCCGCGUGAUUUAGAAGGCCUUCGGGUUGUAAAAAUCUUUUCUAUGGGAAGAAAAUGACAGUACCAUAGGAAUAAGGACCGGCUAAUUACGUGCCAGCAGCCGCGGUAAUACGUAAGGUCCGAGCGUUGUCCGGAAUCAUUGGGCGUAAAGGGUACGUAGGCGGGUAAGCAAGUUAGAAGUGAAAUCCUAUAGCUCAACUAUAGUAAGCUUUUAAAACUGCUCAUCUUGAGGUAUGGAAGGGAGAGUGGAAUUCCUAGUGUAGCGGUGAAAUGCGCAGAUAUUAGGAGGAGUACCGGUGGCGAAGGCGACUUUCUGGCCAUAACCUGACGCUGAGGUACGAAAGCGUGGGUAGCAAACAGG